rnacentral:rRNA from 1 species
GAGCUUGCUCUAGGGAAUUAGUGGCGAGGGGUGAGAAGCAGGUGAGUAACCUGCGUUGACUCUGGGAUAACCUCCGGAAAAGGAAGCUAAUACCGGAUAUGACGCACGGAGGCAUCUCCUGUGCGUGGAAAGAACUUCGGUCAAGGAUGGACUCCCGGCCUAUCAGGUAGUUGGUGAGGUAACGGCCCACCAAGCCUACGACGGGUAGCCGGCCUGAGAGGGUGACCGGCCACACUGGGACUGAGACACGGCCCAGACUCCUACGGGAGGCAGCAGUGGGGAAUAUUGCACAAUGGGCGAAAGCCUGAUGCAGCAACGCCGCGUGAGGGAUGACGGCCUUCGGGUUGUAAACCUCUUUUAGUAGGGAAGAAGCGAAAGUGACGGUACCUGCAGAAAAAGCACCGGCUAACUACGUGCCAGCAGCCGCGGUAAUACGUAGGGUGCGAGCGUUGUCCGGAAUUAUUGGGCGUAAAGAGCUCGUAGGCGGUCUGUCGCGUCUGCUGUGAAAACCCGAGGCUCAACCUCGGGCUUGCAGUGGGUACGGGCAGACUAGAGUGCGGUAGGGGAGAAUGGAAUUCCUGGUGUAGCGGUGGAAUGCGCAGAUAUCAGGAGGAACACCGAUGGCGAAGGCAGUUCUCUGGGCCCGUAACUGACGCUGAGGAGCGAAAGCGUGGGGAGCGAACAGGAUUAGAUACCCUGGUAGUCCACGCCGUAAACGUUGGGCGCAGAUGUGGGGACCAUUCCACGGUUUCCGUGG